CACGUAGGAGACGAGCGUUAUCCGGAUUUACUGGGUGUAAAGCGCGUGCAGGCGGCAUGGUAAGUUGGAUGUGAAAGCUCCUGGCUUAACUGGGAGAGGUCGUUCAAGACUGCCAGGCUAGAGGACAGCAGAGGGGAGUGGAAUUCCGAGUGUAGCGGUAAAAUGCAUAGAUAUUCGGAAGAACACCAGUGGCGAAGGCGGCUCCCUGGGCUGUAACUGACGCUCAGACGCGAAAGCUAGGGUAGCAAACGGG
rnacentral:rRNA from 1 species